rnacentral:rRNA from 1 species
GGAUGAUCAUCACACUGGAACUGAGACACGUCCAACUCCUACGGAGGCAGCAGUGGGGAAUAUUGGACAAUGGGCGAAAGCCUGAUCCAGCCAUGCCGCGUGUGUGAAGAAGGUCUUCGGAUUGUAAAGCACUUUAAGUUGGGAGGAAGGGCAGUAAAUUAAUACUUUGCUGUUUUGACGUUACCGACAGAAUAAGCACCGGCUAACUCUGUGCCAGCAGCCGCGGUAAUACAGAGGGUGCAAGCGUUAAUCGGAAUUACUGGGCGUAAAGCGCGCGUAGGUGGUUCGUUAAGUUGGAUGUGAAAUCCCCCGGGCUCAACCUGGGAACUGCAUUCAAAACUGACGAGCUAGGUAUGGUAGAGGGUGGUGGAAUUUCCUGUGUAGCGGUGAAAUGCGUAGAUAUAGAAGGAACACCAGUGGCGAAGGCGACCACUGGACUGAUACUGACACUGAGGUGCGAAAGCGUGGGAGCAACAGGAUUAGAUACCCUGGUAGUCCACGCCGUAAACGAUGUCAACUAGCCGUUGGGAGCCUUGAGCUCUUAGUGGCGCAGCUAACGCAUUAAGUUGACCGCCUGGGGAGUACGGCCGCAAGGUUAAAACCAAAUGAAUUGACGGGGGCCCGCACAGCGGUGGAGCAUGUGGUUUAAUUCGAAGCAACGCGAAGAACUUACCAGGCCUUGACAUCCAAUGAACUUUCUAGAGUAGAUUGGUGCCUUCGGGAACAUUGAGACAGGUGCUGCAUGGCUGUCGUCAGCUCGUGUCGUGAGAUGUUGGGUUAAGUCCCGUAACGAGCGCAACCCUUGUCCUUAGUUACCAGCACUAAUGGUGGGCACUUAAGGAGACGCCGGUGACAAACCGGAGGAAGGGGGGAUGAGUCAGUCAUCAGGCCCUCGGCUGGGCCAGGUCAAUGGUGGCGGGGUUG